GUAAGUGGGGUAUGGGUGCAUCCCAAAAAUAUCUCCUUUCUCCUGAAGUGUCCACCAGGACCAUUCACACAGUUCAGUCACUCAGCCAUAUCCAGUGGACAUGAUGCUAUAAAGGUCCUGCACUACCACCUCCUACAACAUCCUGAUGAGAAGCAUUAACCCUAGCCCCAUGACUGAUACAUCAGAGGAAGUUGUCUUGCUGUUGGCACCAAUUCCAUCCUACUAAACUUUGUUCUCUCUUGUUCAACUGCCCAAUUGCCCAAUGUUUAAAUUUGCUUCAAAUAUGUUUUUUACUGAAGGGUGACAGAUGACACUUGUAUGGAGGGCUGUGGGUGUGGGGGAGAGAAUGGAUGUAGAUGGGUUUGGUUGAAGAAACUCCCUCUCCCCUACCUCCCUUCCUUCUCUUGAUAGGGAAUAAAAGUGAAUGUUAUUGCUGCAUUUUACCUGUGACCCCAAAUCAACUAUUUUAUGAGUCACAAGCUAAGACAAAAACACACAUAUAUAUAUAUAUAUAUAUAUAUAUUACUUUAUUUACACAUCUAUUCACUACUGGCCAAAUGCAGUCACCUAUCUCUUCAGACAGCAUUUCCAGUUUUUAGGACUGUUUAAAAAAUCUAAGGUAAACCACUUUAUAUUUGCCAUAAUAAUAAUAUUCGGGAAUCAAACCCACCCACCAGGCAUUACAAGCACCAUAAUCUACCAACUGAACAACAAUGGACCACUUUGGAUUAAGCUUAAAAAAUGUGAUAGACUGUAUUAUUAUGCUUAUGUGUUGGUACUGUAUGUACAAUGAGGAAUCGAAUAUUCUUCAAUCUGUCAUGGGUUGAAGUUACCACUAUUAACUAUUAAUCCUGUGCCAAGUCUCAUAUAUGGCUGAAUUGUAGUGUAUUUAAAGAAUAUGCCUUGUGUUGUACAAUUCUUAUACUCUAGAUGGCAGUAACGUGCUACCACCUUCAAAGAGGUCUGUAAGAGUUUUUCUAUUCGCCCUUCAAGUACUGAGCAAAUGUCCAAAUUAAUGAAUUCUCUGAAUUUGCAUUGCGAAUGUUGCUUUUAUUGAUACUAGAUAUGACUGGUUGUGAUCCAGUCCCAUAUGGAACAUGUGACAUGCAAAGUUCAAUUGGGUAAUGUCACACAUUUUUAGCAAAAAAAAAACGCUGUUUUUUUUUUUGGGGG
ensembl:lncRNA